AGAGAACGCUGGCGGUAGGCCUAACACGUGCAAGUCGAACGGCAGCACAGGAGAGCUUGCUCUCUGGGUGGCGAGUGGCGGACGGGUGAGGAAUACAUCGGAAUCUACUCUGUCGUGGGGGAUAACGUAGGGAAACUUACGCUAAUACCGCAUACGACCUACGGGUGAAAGCAGGGGACCUUCGGGCCUUGCGCGAUUGAAUGAGCCGAUGGCGGAUUAGCUAGUGGGCGGGGUAAAGGCCCACCAAGGCGACGAUCCGGAGCUGGUCUGAGAGGAUGAUCAGCCACACUGGAACUGAGACACGGUCCAGACUCCUACGGGAGGCAGCAGUGGGGAAUAUUGGACAAUGGGCGCAAGCCUGAUCCAGCCAUACCGCGUGGGUGAAGAAGGCCUUCGGGUUGUAAAGCCCUUUUGUUGGGAAAGAAAUCCAGCUGGCUAAUACCCGGUUGGGAUGACGGUACCCAAAGAAUAAGCACCGGCUAACUUCGUGCCAGCAGCCGCCGUAA
rnacentral:rRNA from 1 species